CCCUUAGAUGUCCUGGGCCGCACGCGCGUUACACUGAUGCAUUCAACGAGCUUAUAACCUUGGCCGAGAGGCCUGGGCAAUCUUGUUAACGUGCAUCGUGAUAGGGAUAGAUUAUUGAAAUUAUUAAUCUUGAACGAGGAAUUCCUAGUAAACGCAGAUCAUCAAUCUGCAUUGAUUACGUCCUUGCCCUUUGUACACACCGCCCGUCGCUCCUACCGAUUUCGAGUGGUCCGGUGAACCUUCUGGACUGAGUUCGCAAGAAUUCGGGAAGUUAAGUAAACCUUAUCACUUAGAGGAAGGAGAAGUCGUAACA
rnacentral:rRNA from 1 species